AAAAAGACAAACACUAGAAUUUCGUGUCCAACGUUUGACUGUCCGUUUUAUAUAAUUUUUUUUAUAAGUAUUUUCAUUGUUGUUAGAUGAUAAAACAUGAUUAAUACUUUAUGCGUGACUUGUCUUUUUAAUUUUUUUCAUAUUUUUUUUAAAUAAGACGGACGGUCAAACGUUGAACACGAAAAUCCAGCGUUUGUUUUAUU
rfam:Oryza sativa Japonica Group DNA, chromosome 7, cultivar: Nipponbare, complete sequence.